rnacentral:ncRNA from 1 species
UUAAAUGCUAUGACAGAGAAAAAAAUAUCUAGCGAUUUUACAGAGAGUUGGAAACGGUGAGAGCCAACAAAUUUAGGAUAUAUAAUAUUCACUCUUGAGCAGGUUUAUUUAAAGAUAAUUCAAGUAGAUAAACACGGAUACCCCCGUUACAAGGUUAGAAGUUAUUAGACUUUGAAGCGACAAUUUUUAUUGUAAUUAGGGUGGUACCACGGAAAUCUUUCGUCCCUAUA